rnacentral:piRNA from 1 species
AGAAACGUUAUUAGAAUCUGGGAGAA